rnacentral:tRNA from 1 species
AGAAAAGUAAGCUAAAUCAAGCUAAUGGGCUCAUACCCCACAAAUAGAGUAUAAAACUCUCUUCUCUG